AGCAGUCGCCGCGGUAAUACGGAGGGGGCUAGCGUUGUUCGGAAUUACUGGGCGUAAAGCGUACGUAGGCGGUUUCGUAAGUUAGAGGUGAAAGCCCGGAGCUCAACUCCGGAAUUGCCUUUAAGACUGCAUCACUUGAACGUCGGAGAGGUGAGUGGAAUUCCGAGUGUAGAGGUGAAAUUCGUAGAUAUUCGGAAGAACACCAGUGGCGAAGGCGGCUCACUGGACGACUGUUGACGCUGAGGUACGAAAGCGUGGGGAGCAAACAGGAUUAGAUACCCCAGUAGUCCCUGUCUCUUAUAA
rnacentral:rRNA from 1 species